AAAAUUUUCAUCACAUCCAUAUAGAAAAUUAUUAAUCCAUCGUAUUCCAUGUCAAAUUAUGGAUCAAAACAUCAUAAGCAUCCAAAAUUACUAGCUCAAUCUUAAUUAUGCUUUAUAUUUUUAGCUGCAUGCACUAAUAGAUCAUAACAUGAAUUAGUUUCAAUAAAUGCAACAGAAGUAAAUAGACAAUUAAUAACUAAUCUAUCAUGGCUUUAUUUAUGUAGUAGAAAGCAAAUAAUAAAAAUCAAAUUCCUGAAAAUUGAUAAACGUUCUAACCACGUGAUCCAAUAAUUAAUGGACACAAGCUCUAUUAUAUGUGAGUCCAGUGAUGGAUGCAUGAACAACUAAAUACUCGUCAUAGACAAGGACAUGAGAAAAUAGGAGAGAACAAGAUAAUGAAACGAAGUUAAAUAACACUGAAAGCAAAAACAACAGUAGUAAAUUUAUUUACAAUAUAUUUAAUCUGUGACGGUAACAAAAGUUUCCUAUUUUCAUUUUUUAUGAAAAAGUUACUACUGAAAUAUUGGCCUAAAUUAUAAAUGACACUUAUAAAAUGCAAAAUUACAUGGACCUCCACUCUAGUCAAUGAAUUACUAAGUUCUGAUUGGAAUUUAGUGAAAUAGAAUCAGCUAUCCUGGAAGCACUUCUCAUCUUCUUCUUUCUGUGUGCAUGUAGGGCAGCAAUUAUGGUGGUCAACUGUAUUUACACAGGUGAAAUGACCACAAUAUGCUCAAUGGUCAUAUAUAUAAAACAAAUUGUUCUUUUCCUCUAAUAUAUUACAAUUUCAUACACUAUUACAAAGUACAUCUGAUUGGAAAAAAAAAUUAACCUGAUAAAAAGUAAAGCUAUAAAAACAGUGCUUAUAUAAAACGAAUCCUUCUGAAUAUCUAUAUGGUUGAAUUAGGCUUGUAGCCACAUGCUUCAUUAGAUAAGUCCAAAAAAUCAGCUCUGGGGAGUCCCAACGAGAAUAACAUGCAUUUUUUUUUCUCUAAGAUCGUAAAUGUCCCUAGCUUCAUGCAUGCCAAACUCAAUUAUGAUCUCUUAUGGUCCAAGUUUUAACUUUCCACAAUUCAUCAAGUCAAGAUAAGAACUCUAAAUACAUGGGUCCAGAAAAAUGAUGGGGCAAGUAUAAAAAAUAAAAAUAAAUAAAUA
rnacentral:misc_RNA from 1 species